AGGAUACACCUGUUCCCAUUUCGAACACAGAAGUUAAGCUCCCUAGCGCUGAUGGUACUUGGUGGGAAACUGCCUGGGAGAGUAGGACGUAGCCACGU
rnacentral:rRNA from 1 species